UGGGGAAUUUUGGACAAUGGACGCAAGCCUGAUCCAGCCAUGCCGCGUGCGGGAAGAAGGCCUUCGGGUUGUAAACCGCUUUUGUCAGGGAAGAAAUCUUCUGAGUUAAUACCUCGGGAGGAUGACGGUACCUGAAGAAUAAGCACCGGCUAACUACGUGCCAGCAGCCGCGGUAAUACGUAGGGUGCAAGCGUUAAUCGGAAUCACUGGGCGUAAAGCGUGCGCAGGCGGUUUUGUAAGACAGAGGUGAAAUCCCCGGGCUCAACCUGGGAACUGCCUUUGUGACUGCAAGGCUUGAGUGCGGCAGAGGGGGGAUGGAAUUCCGCGUGUAGCAGUGAAAUGCGUAGAUAUGCGGAGGAACACCGAUGGCGAAGGCAAUCCCCUGGGGCCUGCACUGACGCUCAUGCACGAAAGCGUGGGGAGCAAACAGGAUUAGAUACCCUGGUAGUCCACGCCCUAAAACGAUGUCAACUGGUUGUUGGGAAGGUUCCUUCUCAGUAACGUAGCUAACGCGUGAAGUUGACCGCCUGGGGAGUACGGCCGCAAGGUUGAAA
rnacentral:rRNA from 1 species